UACUAACUCUUUCUUCUUUCUUAACACAUGCAAGUCUAACGGAGUGGCGAACGGGUGAGUAACACGUGGGUGACCUGCCCUGCACUUCGGGAUAAGCCUGGGAAACUGGGUCUAAUACCGGAUAGUGUGGGAUGGGCCCGCGGCCUAUCAGCUUGUUGGGGGGGUAAUGGCCUACCAAGGCGGCGACGGGUAGCCGGCCUGAGAGGGUGGACGGCCACAUGGGGACUGAGACACGGCCCAGACUCUUACGGGAGGCAGCAGUGGGGAAUAUUGCACAAUGGGCGGAAGCCUGAUGCAGCGACGCCGCGUGGGGGAUGACGGCCUUCGGGUUGUAAACUCCUUUCACCAUCGACGCGGUAGAUGGAGAAGAAGCACCGGCUAACUACGUGCCAGCCGCCGCGGUAAUAC
rnacentral:rRNA from 1 species